rnacentral:lncRNA from 1 species
GUCAUCAUCCCCCACACUCCCUAGAGCAAGAGUUCAGAGGGUCAGGCCACUUCUGUGUGCAGGAAGGCAUUGCUGAGAUUUUCAAAGCAGAAGCCAAUGAUCAGUGAUCAUUUUCUCUUGUUUUCAUGCAGCUGUCUCUCAGGAAUGCAAUCUUUUACAGUGGAAUUUGGCAUCCCUGAGAUCCAGAAGAGAGGAAACCAGCAAGUACUUCUGCCAGAUGGGCUGGAAUGCACAGUGGGUGGGGGGAGAAACUAGG